rnacentral:rRNA from 1 species
UACGUAGGGUCCGAGCGUUGUCCGGAAUUACUGGGCGUAAAGAGCUCGUAGGUGGUUUGUCGCGUUGUUCGUGAAAACUCACAGCUUAACUGUGGGCGUGCGGGCGAUACGGGCAGACUAGAGUACUGCAGGGGAGACUGGAAUUCCGGGUGUAGCGGUGGAAUGCGUAGAGAUCCGGAGGAAGACCGGUGGCGAAGGCGGUCUGCUGGGCAGUUUCUGACACUGAGGCGCGACAGCGUGGGGAGCAAACAGG